AGUGAACGCUGGCGGUAGGCCCAACACAUGCAAGUCGAACGGCAGCACAGUAAGAGCUUGCUCUUACGGGUGGCGAGUGGCGGACGGGUGAGGAAUACAUCGGAAUCUACUUUUUCGUGGGGGAUAACGUAGGGAAACUUACGCUAAUACCGCAUACGACCUACGGGUGAAAGCAGGGGAUCUUCGGACCUUGCGCGAUUGAAUGAGCCGAUGUCGGAUUAGCUAGUUGGCGGGGUAAAGGCCCACCAAGGCGACGAUCCGUAGCUGGUCUGAGAGGAAGAUCAGCCACACUGGAACUGAGACACGGUCCAGACUCCUACGGGAGGCAGCAGUGGGGAAUAUUGGACAAUGGGCGCAAGCCUGAUCCAGCCAUACCGCGUGGGUGAAGAAGGCCUUCGGGUUGUAAAGCCCUUUUGUUGGGAAAGAAAAGCAGCAGGUUAAUACCCCGCUGUUCUGACGGUACCCAAAGAAUAAGCACCGGCUAACUUCGUG
rnacentral:rRNA from 1 species